ACACAUGCAAGUCGAGGGGCAGCAUGGUCUUAGCUUGCUAAGGCCGAUGGCGACCGGCGCACGGGUGAGUAACACGUAUCCAACCUGCCGUCUACUCUUGGACAGCCUUCUGAAAGGAAGAUUAAUACAAGAUGGCAUCAUGAGUCCGCAUGUUCACAUGAUUAAAGGUAUUCCGGUAGACGAUGGGGAUGCGUUCCAUUAGAUAGUAGGCGGGGUAACGGCCCACCUAGUCUUCGAUGGAUAGGGGUUCUGAGAGGAAGGUCCCCCACAUUGGAACUGAGACACGGUCCAAACUCCUACGGGAGGCAGCAGUGAGGAAUAUUGGACAAUGGGCGAGAGCCUGAACCAGCCAAGUAGCGUGAAGGAUGACUGCCCUAUGGGUUGUAAACUUCUUUUAUAAAGGAAUAAAGUCGGGUAUGGAUACCCGUUUGCAUGUACUUUAUGAAUAAGGAUCGGCUAACUCCGUGCCAGCAGCCGCGGUAAUACGGAGGAUCCGAGCGUUAUCCGGAUUUAUUGGGUUUAAAGGGAGCGUAGAUGGAUGUUUAAGUCAGUUGUGAAAGUUUGCGGCUCAACCGUAAAAUUGCAGUUGAUACUGGAUAUCUUGAGUGCAGUUGAGGCAGGCGGAAUUCGUGGUGUAGCGGUGAAAUGCUUAGAUAUCACGAAGAACUCCGAUUGCGAAGGCAGCCUGCUAAGCUGCAACUGACAUUGAGGCUCGAAAGUGUGGGUAUCAAACAGGAUUAGAUACCCUGGUAGUCCACACGGUAAACGAUGAAUACUCGCUGUUUGCGAUAUACUGCAAGCGGCCAAGCGAAAGCGUUAAGUAUUCCACCUGGGGAGUACGCCGGCAACGGUGAAACUCAAAGGAAUUGACGGGGGCCCGCACAAGCGGAGGAACAUGUGGUUUAAUUCGAUGAUACGCGAGGAACCUUACCCGGGCUUAAAUUGCAGAUGAAUUACGGUGAAAGCCGUAAGCCGCAAGGCAUCUGUGAAGGUGCUGCAUGGUUGUCGUCAGCUCGUGCCGUGAGGUGUCGGCUUAAGUGCCAUAACGAGCGCAACCCUUGCCGAUAGUUACUAACAGGUCAUGCUGAGGACUCUGUCGGGACUGCCAUCGUAAGAUGUGAGGAAGGUGGGGAUGACGUCAAAUCAGCACGGCCCUUACGUCCGGGGCUACACACGUGUUACAAUGGGGGGUACAGAGGGCUGCUACCACGCAAGUGGAUGCCAAUCCCAAAAACCUCUCUCAGUUCGGAUUGAAGUCUGCAACCCGACUUCAUGAAGCUGGAUUCGCUAGUAAUCGCGCAUCAGCCACGGCGCGGUGAAUACGUUCCCGGGCCUUGUACACACCGCCCGUCAAGCCAUGGGAGCCGGGGGUACCUGAAGUGCGUAAACGCAAGGAGCGCCCUAGGGUAAAACUGGUGACUGGGGCUAA
rnacentral:rRNA from 1 species